AGGACUAACGCUGGCGGCGUGCCUAACACAUGCAAGUCGAACGAGAGUAGCAAUACUCUAGUGGCAGACGGGUGAGUAACACGUGGUCAACCUACCUUUAAGUGGGGGAUAACUAGCCGAAAGGUUAGCUAAUACCGCAUACGAUCUUCGCGUGGCAUCACAUGAAGAUGAAAGGAGCAAUCCGCUGAAAGACGGGACCGCGUCCCAUUAGCCAGUUGGUGGGGUAACGGCCUACCAAAGCAACGAUGGGUAGCUGGCUUGAGAGAGCGACCAGCCACACUGGGACUGAGACACGGCCCAGACUCCUACGGGAGGCAGCAGUGAGGAAUUUUCCGCAAUGGGCGAAAGCCUGACGGAGCGACGCCGCGUGUGGGAUGAAGGCCUUCGGGUCGUAACCACUGUCGAAGGGGAAGAUAUUGACGGUACCCUUGGAGGAACGCCCGGCUAACUACGCGCCAGCAGCCGC
rnacentral:rRNA from 1 species